GCGGUCGUGGCGGAAUGGUAGACGCGCCAGCUUGAGGUGCUGGUGGGGGAAACCCCGUGGAAGUUCGAAUCUUCUCGACCGCACCA
rnacentral:tRNA from 19 species